rnacentral:rRNA from 1 species
CCUACGGGAGGCAGCAGUGAGGAAUAUUGGUCAAUGGGCGCGAGCCUGAACCAGCCAAGUCGCGUGAAGGAUGACUGCCCUACGGGUUGUAAACUUCUUUUAUAAAGGAAUAAAGUGAGGCACGUGUGCCUUUUUGUAUGUACUUUAUGUAUAAGGCUCGGCUAACUUCGUUCCAACAGCCGCGGUAAUACGGAGGAUUCGAGCGUUAUCCGGAUUUAUUGGGUUUAAAGGGAGCGUAGAUGGGUUGUUAAGUCAGUUGUGAAAGUUUGCGGCUCAAACGUAAAAUUGCAAUUGAUACUGGCAGCCGUGAGUACAGGUGAGGUAGGCGGAAUUCGUGGUGUAGCGGGGAAAUGCUUAGAUAUCACGAAGAACUCCGAUUGCGAAGGCAGCUUACUAGACUGCAACUGACAUUGAUGCUCGAAAGUGUGGGUAUCAAACAGGAUUAGAUACCCCAGUAGUC